rnacentral:rRNA from 1 species
AGGAUAAACGCUGGCGGCGUGCCUAACACAUGCAAGUCGAACGCUCUCUGGUAACAGAGGGAGUGGCGGACGGGUGAGUAACACGUGGGUACCUACCCCAAGGUGAGGAAUACCGGCGAGAAAUCGCCGACAAUACCGCAUAGCUUUCGUAAGAAAGAAAGCCUCGCAAGAGGCGCCAUAGGAAGGGCCUGCGGCCGAUUAGCUAGUUGGUAAGGUAAAAGCUUACCAAGGCGACGAUCGGUAGCUGGUCUGAGAGGACGAUCAGCCACACUGGGAUUGAGAACGGCCCAGACUCCUACGGGGGGCAGCAGUGAGGAAUUUUCGUCAAUGGGGGCAACCCUGAACGAGCAACGCUGCGUGCAGGAAGAAGGUUUUCGGAUCGUAAACUGCUUUUCUUUGGGACGAGAACGGACGGUACCAGAGGAAUAAGCCCCGGCUAACUACGCGCCAGCAGCCGC